AUGGCUCAGUUGGUAGAGCAUGGUGUUUGCAAUGCCAGGGUUGUGGGUUCGUUUCCCACU
rnacentral:tRNA from 1 species